rnacentral:rRNA from 1 species
AGCAGUCGCCGCGGUAAGACAGAGGAUGCAAGCGUUAUCCGGAAUGAUUGGGCGUAAAGCGUCUGUAGGUGGCUUUUCAAGUCCGCCGUCAAAUCCCAGGGCUCAACCCUGGACAGGCGGUGGAAACUACCAAGCUGGAGUACAGUAGGGGCAGAGGGAAUUUCCGGUGUAGCGGUGAAAUGCGUAGAGAUCAGGAAGAACGCCGGAGGCGAAGGCGGCUUACUGGACAAAGACUGACGUUGAGGCUCGAAAGCGUGGGAAGCAAACAGGAUUAGAUACCCCUGUAGUCCCUGUCUCUUAUAC